CUAAAUUAUCUUCAUCCUUAAACAAAAUAUAGUUUUAAACCUCAUUAAUCCUGUCUUUGAGGACUAUACAAUUAAAUCAUCAUCACAAGGCAAAAAAUGAGCAGACUCACAGGCAGACUUUGAAACUCAAGUUACAGAGUGAUGGUUAAAAUGGAAAUAUAUCAUUGAAAUUCAUGCUCUUGUGUUUGCAUUGGGCAUCCAGUACUUCCAAGUCAGUUUGUGAAUUUGCCUAUUAAUCUUUCUUUUAAAAUUUUCUCUUUAUGGAAGAAAUGUGUAAGAGGGAGUUUGGUCAGAUAGAACUGAAGAAAGGAGGUAGGAUGAGGGAUAGUGUAGAGUAAAACAACAUUUGAAAAAAAUACUCUUCAAAAAUAUUUGAUAGAGUUAAGAAGAAUUCAGAAAAGGAAGUACAAUGGGGAAUUGAUAGUAUAGCUAAAUACAUGCUGUUCUCACCUUUUCAUAUCUGCAAAAAUAUGAAAUUUGUGUGUGAGAAAACAAAUGAAUGGACAAGGAUAUGCAAGAAUAGGAAGAGAUAAUGGGAAGGCAGAGAUAACUAAAAACAGCAAGGUUCCACCCAUCGCCAUUAUGCAGGACCUGAUCAUUCCCUUCCCCACCAAAGGAAAACUGUCAGCUUCCUUCAAAAAGGUUUUACAUGUCUUGUUUAGCUUUCCUGUUCAGAUGAUCUGUAGCAAUCAUAAAGACUGAUUUACAUGUAAAAGAGUUGAGCUAAAAUUCAUCAAAACUUAAUAUAAUUUCUCAUGGAUAAAAUAAAUAGGAUUUUUUUCUUACCGAGCUUAUUUCUCUUAUCAAAACAUAAAUGUAAGAAUAUCUAUGUCAUACCAAAGACCUAUUUUAUUAAUGACUAGUUUAUAGGCAACUUUCACUAUAUGUACCCAUUCUUUUCAUUUAUGUCUGAAUCUUUUUACAGUCCCGCCAGCAUAUAUAAGGGUGUGUAUGAAAUAAAGAGCUAAAAACAACUAUUUCAGAAUAUUUUUUCUUCAUCUAUUGAACUGGUAUACAGUCCAUAAAAACUUACUGUGUAUUAGAUGUAUUAGUUUUUAAGGUGCCAUGACUUUGGCAUGUUAUUAUUGGCGACUCAAUCACCCAUUUUGGAACAGACUAUGGAGCUCAAAGAACUGUCCAAUUGGCAAAACUGUUGAAUAAAGUCAUUAUCAUUUAUGGGGCUUUUACAGAACUUCCCUUAAGAUUUUAAUAUUAAUUUUCCCUCAUCUGAUGUCAUAGUGGAUGCAAAUGAUUUAAAUUGAACAACACAUAGGCAACAAGUUUAAAGGAGAGUUCAUCUUAGUGUUUUGGGAAUUUAUUUACGAGUCAGAUCAAAUUCUUUUUUUACAGGUGAGGAGUCCAGGUUAAAUUAGGAGUCAAAGAACAAGAAACCAGGACGAUAUGCUUCAAUGUGAUUGUUCAGAUCAUCCAGUAGUGCAAUCAUCCUUAUUGCAACAGAAUCCAUCUCCCUUGUAUAGAGGAAAGAGGGAGUAACCUUGAAGAAUAGGAGGAAGAGCUGCCAGCAACGCAAUAGUAAAAUAAAAGAGUCCUAAGCCCAGGCCAUGAAAUAAACAUGAGUAACUUCUCA